AUUGAACGCUGGCGGCAUGCUUCACACAUGCAAGUCGAACGGUAACAGGUUAAGCUGACGAGUGGCGAACGGGUGAGUAAUGCAUCGGAACGUGCCCGAUCGUGGGGGAUAACGCAGCGAAAGCUGCGCUAAUACCGCAUACGAUCUGAGGAUGAAAGCGGGGGACCGUAAGGCCUCGCGCGAUCGGAGCGGCCGAUGUCGGAUUAGGUAGUUGGUGGGGUAAAGGCCCACCAAGCCGACGAUCUGUAGCUGGUCUGAGAGGACGACCAGCCACACUGGGACUGAGACACGGCCCAGACUCCUACGGGAGGCAGCAGUGGGGAAUUUUGGACAAUGGGCGAAAGCCUGAUCCAGCAAUGCCGCGUGCAGGAAGAAGGCCUUCGGGUUGUAAACUGCUUUUGUACGGAGCGAAAAGGUCCUUUCUAAUACAAGGGGCUCAUGACGGUACCGUAAGAAUAAGCACCGGCUAACUACGUGCCAGCAGCCGCGGUAA
rnacentral:rRNA from 1 species